rnacentral:rRNA from 1 species
UACGAAGGGGGCUAGCGUUGUUCGGAAUUACUGGGCGUAAAGCGCGCGUAGGCGGAUUUUUAAGUCAGGGGUGAAAUCCCAGGGCUCAACCCUGGAACUGCCUUUGAUACUGAGGGUCUGGAGUUCGGGAGAGGUGAGUGGAAUUCCGAGUGUAGAGGUGAAAUUCGUAGAUAUGUAUUAGAACACCGAUUGCGAAGGCAGUUCACUAGGCGUGUAUUGACACUGAGGCUCGAAAGCGUGGGGAUCAAACAGG